rnacentral:rRNA from 1 species
GAUGAACGCUGGCGGCGUGCCUAAUACAUGCAAGUCGAGCGAACAGAUGAGGAGCUUGCUCCUCUGACGUUAGCGGCGGACGGGUGAGUAACACGUGGAUAACCUCCCUAUAAGACUGGGAUAACUUCGUGAAAUCGGAGCUAAUACCGGAUAAUAUAUUGAACCGCAUGGUUCAAUAGUUAAAGACGGUUUUGCUGUCACUUAUAGAUGGAUCCGCGCCGCAUUAGCUAGUUGGUAAGGUAACGGCUUACCAAGGCAACGAUGCGUAGCCGACCUGAGAGGAUGAUCAGCCACACUGGAACUGAGACACGGUCCAGACUCCUACGGGAGGCAGCAGUAGGGAAUCUUGGGCAAUGGGCGAAAGCCUGACGGAGCAAUGCCGCGUGAGUGAUGAAGGUCUUCGGAUCGUAAAACUCUGUUGUUAGGAAAGAAAAGAUGUGUGAGAAAAUAGGCACGUCUUGACGGUACCUAAAGAAUAAGCAACGGCUAACUACGUG